rnacentral:tRNA from 2 species
GGAGAAGUGGCCGAGUGGUUGAAGGCGCACGCCUGGAAAGUGUGUAUAGGUUAAUAGCCUAUCGAGGGUUCGAAUCCCUCCUUCUCCGCCA